ensembl:snoRNA LOC120096409 small nucleolar RNA SNORA17
CAUCUCCCUAAAGGCAUUAUGGGUAGUGUUGCUGUGCCCUAUGUUCGUCACUAGGUGGCAGGAAGUAGAGAGGCAUUGUCUAUACCCGGUGUGACCUAUGAACUUCUGAAUGAUUAGUAGCCUAACAGU